UACAGAGGGUGCAAGCGUUAAUCGGAAUUACUGGGCGUAAAGCGUGCGUAGACGGUCAUGUAAGUCGGGUGUGAAAGCCCCGGGCUCAACCUGGGAAUUGCAUUCGAGACUGCGUGGCUAGGGUGCGGAAGAGGGAAGCGGAAUUUCCGGUGUAGCGGUGAAAUGCGUAGAUAUGACAUAGAACACCGAUAGCGAAGGCAGCUUGCUACGCGAGUAUUGACACUGAGGCACGAAAGCGUGGGGAUCAAACAGG
rnacentral:rRNA from 1 species